UACGUAGGGUGCAAGCGUUGUCCGGAAUUAUUGGGCGUAAAGAGCUCGUAGGCGGUUUGUUGCGUCGGCUGUGAAAUCCCGAGGCUCAACCUCGGGUCUGCAGUCGAUACGAGCAAACUAGAGUGUUGCAGGGGAGACUGGAAUUCCUGGUGUAGCGGUGAAAUGCGCAGAUAUCAGGAGGAACACCGGUGGCGAAGGCGGGGUCUCUGGGCAACUACUGACGCUGAGGAGCGAAAGCGUGGGGAGCGAACAGG
rnacentral:rRNA from 1 species